UUUCUCUUUUUCUGGGAUGCCUGUAAUGCGAAUGUUGGUACAAUUAAUGUUGUCCCAGAGGUCUCUUAGACUGUCCUUAUUUCUUUUUAUUCUUUUUUCUUUAUUCUUUUCCUGUGGCAGUGAUUUCCUCCACUCUGUCUUCCUGUUUACUUACUCAUUCUUUUCCCUAGGUUAUUUUACUAUUGAUUCCUUCUAGAGUGUUUUUCAUUUCAGUAUUGUUCAUCUUCGUUCUUUAGAUCUUCUAGCUCUUUGUUAAACAUUUAACUUCUUGAACUGUCCCUCCACUCUUUUUAGAGCAUCUUGGAUCAUCCUUACUAUCAUCAUUCCCAUUUUCAGGUAGAUGGCCAAUCUCUCUUCAUUUAUUUGUUUUUGUGUGUGUGUGUGUGUGGGUUUUUAACUUGUUCCUUCAUCUGAAACACAUUUUUCUGUUUUCUCAUUUUGCCUGACUUUCUGUCUCCUUUCUGCAGGCUGAAGGAUUGUAGGGCCUCUUGCUUCUGGUGUCUGCUCCCUGGUGGGUAAUUUUGGUCUAGGGUUUGUGCAGGUUUCCUGGUGGGAGUGACUGGUGCCUGCCCAGUGAUGAGUGGAGGUGGGUCUUAUUCCUUGGGUGGUCACACUCAAGAGGGGUGUUUAGGCUGUGAGCUCAGGACAACCUUAGGCACCCUUAUAGGAGUUUAAAUUUUUUGGUACAGGGCUGCUUUUAUUGUGGAUACCUGCCACCUCUUUCCUAAGUGUAUGCUAACUGUUAUCCCCUUGAUAGGAGGUGUGAUUGAUGUGGUGACGAGAGCCUGCUCUGGAUAUUGAGGGGAGCCUCCUCUUUUUUCUGUGGUUGUCACUGCCAUGUCAGGGGGAGGAUAUGCUCCCUAGCUAUUUGAGUAGGAGCCCCCAGAGCUCCUACUCAAUGUUUAUAAGCUAUGUUUCUGCCCUGUGGCGUGAAGUAGGCAGAACUAGAGUGCUCCCACCAGGAGAGGAGCCUGUGAGUAUUCCUCUGCUGGAGCUGUUCACUUGUGAGUGUGCUUUGUUGUGUCACCUUUGACCUGUUGUGUGGGUUUACAAAGUACGCUAUUGUUGGCAUGGCUCUCAGCCCCACCUGAACUUUUGGUAUGCUGGCAGUUGGCCAUGUUGUCUCUCAGGUGGUGUUUUCACCAUGCUACCACCGCAGAUCCAUCGAAAUCAGUUCUGAGGACAGCAAUAGUCAUGCAUCUUGGCCUGCUGUGGGAGCUACGAAGGCAGCUCCUGGUCUAGCUGCUGUGUGUAUGUGACCACAAAGCCCAAAGCUACUAAAACCAGAUCUGUCUUAGUUGUGGGAGUACUCGUCCAUUGGAAUGUUCCAUAGGUGCUGACUUUACAAAGUCAGCAGUGGAGGUAUAAAUCUGAGGUUCUCACAGCCAGGGAGAGAGAUUUCUGCUCUUCUUCCUUAGUCACAUGGCCCCUGGGGCUCAGCUGUGGUUAAACUCCACCUCUGCAUGUGGGCAACCCACUGGAGACUGCCCAGGUGGGAGGUGGGUGGGCAGUGACCAGUUGCAUGAUCUCACUUUUGUGGGCGUGGCAAGCCAGAGGUUGGAGCAAGCAUGUCUGCCCAAGUGGGAGGCUCCCUCAGGGCCUGCAGAGGCAAGGCCCCAAGUGGGAGCUUCCCUCAGGGCCUGCAGGGGCAGGGGCCUGCGUGAGGGAAGAGGCUGCAAUGGUGGCUCCGCCCCUUGAUAUCACUUAACAAUGGUGCUUAGUUUCUGUGGCCACCCAGGCCACCUCCCCAGAUAUUCCUGGCUGUGGUGUUAUGCCUUCCACCCUCCAGGCUGCCUUGGCAUAGUCACCUGCAGUUCUCUCCCCAAGUCUGUUCUCUAAAACCUCAUGUUUCAGCACCCGGCCUGUGCUGUAUCCAUGGUCACAAGUUUCAGGCUGGGACAUGCAGGGGAUGGAAUGGACCAUCAGUAUAGGUCUCAUUGUGUCCCACCUGCCACAGACCAGUGCUGUGUCCUCCUCCAGGCCUCAGAAGCACCUUUCCUGUCCUAGCUGACCUCCCUCUUUAGCUCCAGGGUUGCAGGUCCUAAACUGCUUCCACUUCUCUUUUCUGUCUUUUUUCCCUUCAUCCUACCCAAUUAUGUGGAGAUCCUUCUUGUACUGCAGGUGUUUGAAGCCUGCCAGUGUUCAGUAAGUGUCCUAUGAAGAUUGUUCUAUUUGUAGAUGGAUUCCUGAUGUGUUUGUGGGAAGAGGUGAGAUCCACAUCAUCCUACUCUCACAGCUUUAUCUCAUCAAGACUCAAAAAUCCUUUAAAAUUAAUGUCAAUGAGAGAUUGGGCAGCCAAGAUGGCAGACGAGCAAGCCCUCAUCUCAGCUUCUCUCACGAGCUCACCAAAGUCAUGGCCAAUGCAGAAUAACCAUGGCAAGGAAGACUGGAACCUACUAUAAAAGAUCUACACUAAAGACAUAAAGAAGGAACCACAAUGAAACCAGAGCCCCAGAGGACUCGGGGGAGAUAGAGACCUCAGUCUUAAAGGAUGCACACAAAAUCUCACACAUACCAGGACCAGUGGCAAAAGGAGGAAUUUGAUAGCCUGGGCCAGACUUACCAGCGGGACUUACAGGGUCUCCUGGAGAGGCAGGGGACAGCAGCAACUCACCCUGGGAACAUAAAUACUGAGGGUAGGUAUAUUGGAGAACAUUAAGCUGUAUGAACACUGCUGAGGCUGAUGGCUGCCAUGUGGAUCAUGAGUGCCAAGUCCUGGCCACAUAGUCAGCAGACAGGCUGCCUAAGAUUAAAGAGCCCACAGCCACCUCUGGACAUGCCCUUUGACAUGGCCCAUCCCACCAGAGGGCCAAGACCCAGCUCCACCCCCCCAGUGAACAGGCACCAGCCCCUCCCUCCAGGAAGCUUGCACGAGCCUCUUGACCAGCCUCAUUCAUAAGAAGACAGACACCCAAAGCAAAAAAACUACAAUCCUGCAACACAGGUCAGACCCUACCUGAGGAUCAAAUGGGCCCAGGUACUGGCCCUGCCUGCUGAUAGGCCAGCACAAACUUUGGGAUGCCCUGGACCCCAUACCCAACCCCCUUACCCAACCAAAUCUGAAUGAGCUCUGAAAUCCCUGGGUGUUACAGCCAGACUUCAGGAGCCAGCUCUGCCUGCCAGUAGUCUGGCACUAGUCAUAGGAUCUGGCUUCACCUGCUGGUGGGUAGCAGCCCCUGAGUCUUGAGGACCCUAAUUCCACCUACCAGUGAGCCAAAAGGAGCCUCAGGGCCCACUAGGAUCUCACAACCAGCCACCUUGUGACCAGGCCCCACUAAAUAGCAGCCAGCAUCAUCCACACAAGGCAGGGCCUGGCACCCAGCCAGACUAGGGACCGAAAAGCUUAUCAGACUAACCCACAUAGCCCACUGCAAGAGAAGGACCCAUGUAUCCCUCAUAGGAACCUAGAGUGUACAGCUUGGGUGAUGAGAAGGAAGAAUACUGCUGAAUUGUAGAGGGUGCCUCCUACAGAGAGCCACUCUUCCAAGUCAGGAAGCAUAAAUAACAUACCAUAUACAUAAGAACACAGAGAACAGCUUAAAAUGAGACAGCAGAGGAAAACAUUCCAGGUAAAGGGACGAGAUAAAAACCCAGAAAAAGAACUCAGUGACAUGGAAUUAGGCAACCCACCCGGAGACAGAGUCCAAAGUAAUGAUUGUAAAGAUGAUCCAGGAUCUAAGGAGGAGAAUGGAUGCAUAGAACAAGAAAUUAGAAGUUUUUAACAAAGAAUUUGAAAAUACAAAGAACAACCAAACAAAAUUAAAAAAUAAAAUAACUGAAUGUAAAACUAGAAGGAAUCAGUAGUUGACCAAAUGAUUCAAAAGAAUGGAUCUGUGAGUUAGCAGACAGUAGUGGAAAUCGUUGCUGCUGAACAGAAACAAAAAUGAAAUUAGGACAGUUUAAGAGACUCCUGGAACAACAUCAAGUGCACUAAUGUUCACAUUAUAGGGAUCCCAGAAAGAGAAGAGAGAUAGGGCCUGAGAAAAUAUUUGAAGAGAUAAUAGCUGAAAACCUCACUCACCUGGGAAAGGAAAAAGUCACCGAAGUGCAGGAAGUGCAGUCACAUCCUGCACCCAAGGAGGAAUACACCAAGACGUAUUAAAAAUGACAAAAUAUUUUUUGUUCCCGUCAUGGCGCAGUGGUUAACGAAUCCAACUAGGAACCAUGAGGUUGUGGGUUUGGUCCCUGCCCUUGCUCAGUGGGUUAACGAUCCGGCGUUGCCGUGAGCUGUGGUGGAGGUUGCAGACGCGGCUCGGAUCACGCGUUGCUGUGGCUCUGGUGGAGGCUGGUGGCUACGGCUCCGAUUAGACCCCUAGCCUGGAUAUCUCCAUAUGCCGCAGGAGCGGCCCAAGAAAUAGCAAAAAGCCCAAAAAAAAAAAAGAAAAAAAAAAAGCCCAUUGAAAGAAUACUAGAAGCUGCAAGGGAAAAGCAACAAAUAACAUACAAGGCAAUUGCCAUAAAACUAUCAGAUUUUUCAACAGAAACUGCAGGCCAGAAGGGAGCGGCAUGGUAUAUUUAAGGUGAUGGAAGGGCAAAACCUAUAUCCCAUAGGCUCUCUUUCAUUUGAUGAAAAAUAAAAAUUUUACAGACAAGAAAAGGCUAAAGGAAUACACAUCACCAAACCAAUAAAUGUUAUAGGAGCUUCUCUAGGUGAAAAAUAAAAGGCCACAACUAGAAACAAGAUUAUGGAAUGAAAAACCGCACUGGUAAGGGCAAACAUACAGUAAAGAGAGGAAAUCAUCCAUAAAGCUACUAGGGAGAGCAAAAAACAAAAGAAAUAAGAUCAUCUGUACACACAAUAAGCAGUUAAGGGAUACACAAAAUAGAUGUAAAUAUAAUAUUGACUAAUUAUGAGGGGAGGAGAGUACAAAUGCAAGGUAUUUAAAAUUCAUUUGAAAUUAAGAGAUUGACAACUUAGGACAAUCACAUGUAUGUGUGUGUGUGUGUGUGUGUGUGUGUAUAUAUAUCAUGUGUGGAUAGACUGCUACACAAAAGCCUGAUAACCACAAACCAAAAAUCUAUAAUGCAUAAAUACACAAAAAGGAAUCUAAACAUAACACUAAAGAUAGUUACCAAACCACCAGAACAAAAGAAAAACAAAUCUAAAACAUUAACAAAAUGGCAGUAAGAAAAUUCAUAUCAGAAUUCCUGUUGUGGCGCAGUGGAAAUGAAUCAACUAGGAACCAUGAGGUUGUGGGUUCAAUCCAUGGCUUCACUCAGUGGGUUAGGGAUCUGGCAUUGCUGUGAGCUAUGGUGUAGGUUGCAGAAGUGACUUAAAUCCUGUGGUGUAGGCUGGCAGCUGUAGCUCUGAUUUGACCCCUAGCCUGGG
rnacentral:lncRNA from 1 species